CCUACGGGUGGCAGCAGUGAGGAAUAUUGGUCAAUGGGCGCGAGCCUGAACCAGCCAAGUCGCGUGAGGGAGUACUGCCCUAUGGGUUGUAAACCUCUUUUGUCGGGGAGCAAAAGCCGGUCGUGUCCGGCUGUGAGAGUACCCGAAGAAAAAGCAUCGGCUAACUCCGUUCCAGCAGCCGCGGUAAUACGGAGGAUGCGAGCGUUAUCCGGGUUUAUUGGGUUUAAAGGGUGCGCAGGCGGAUUAUUAAGUCAGCGGUAAAAUCGUGGGGCUCAACCCCGUCCAGCCGGUGAAACUGGGGAGCUAGAGAGUGCGAGAGGUAUGCGGAAUGCAUGGUGUAGCGGUGAAAUGCAUAGAGAUCAUGCAGAACCCCGAUUGCGAAGGCAGCAUACCGGUGCACAACUGACGCUCAGGCACGAAAGCGUGGGUAUCGAACAGGAUUAGAUACCCCGGUAGUC
rnacentral:rRNA from 1 species